GACAAUGGCCAUGCCACCCUGAAUGUGCCCAAUCCUGUCUAAUCUCGGAAGCUAAGCAGGGUCAGGCCUGGUUAGUACUUGGAUGGGAGUCCACCUAGGAAGACCAGGUGCUGGUCU
rnacentral:rRNA from 1 species